AAGUCGUAACAAGGUUUCCGUAGGUGAACCUGCGGAAGGAUCAUUACUGUAUUAGGGCCCUCACGGGUCCGACAUACCCACCCUUGUGUAUUUAUACCAUGUUGCUUUGGCGCCUGUGGCCUCAAAACCGCCUGCGCCAGAGGCCUAAACUCUGUUAAUUAAUGUCGUCUGAGUACUAUAUAAUAGUUAAAA
rnacentral:misc_RNA from 1 species